CAGAAACAUGAGAGUCGACCCCUAGCAUCAGCUGAAGCAUGCGCAGAGUACCUCCACUACUUCAUGAAAACGGAAGUAAAGAUGUAUAAAAAGGGACUGUUUGAACUGCUCAGCACGGCAGUUGGCGGAGCGCAGACUCCCCUGUCAUCCAGCGCUGUUUUUGCUCAUAUCCUACUUGCUAUAAUUAAUAAAAUUUUAAUUAGAUUA